GACGAACGCUGGCGGCGUGCUUAACACAUGCAAGUCGAACGGAAAGGCCCUGCUUUUGUGGGGUGCUCGAGUGGCGAACGGGUGAGUAACACGUGAGUAACCUGCCCUUGACUUUGGGAUAACUUCAGGAAACUGGGGCUAAUACCGGGUAGGAGCUCCUGCUGCAUGGUGGGGGUUGGAAAGUGUCGGCGGUUGGGGAUGGACUCGCGGCUUAUAAGCUUGUUGGUGGGGUAGUGGCUUACCAAGGCUUUGGCGGGUAGCCGGCCGGACAGGGUGACCGGCAACAAUGGUACUGAGAUAAGGAGCAGAAUCCUACGGGAGGCAGCAGUGGGGAAGAUUGCACAGUGGGCGGAAGCCUGAUGCAGCAACGCCGCGGGCGGGAUGACGGCCUUCUGGGUGUAAACAGCUUCCGCCUGUGAAGAAGAGUGAGUGACGGUAAUGGGUAAAGAAGCACCGGCUAACUACGUG
rnacentral:rRNA from 1 species